CAGAAAUGUCGGCCCAAUCAGCGGCAGCAUGUAUAUAAACCACGCGGUAUUAAAGAGACACCUCGCACAAUGGGUCCUAGUAAAGUAGUUUACAAAUGUGUCCGCUGCAGCUCGGUAUAUGCAACAAUUGAAGACAUUAGAAGACAUGUUUGCCGUAAGAGUUUUAUAGUAAAAUAUAGCAUAUCACCAUGAUGAUGUAGUUGUUUAUAUUUUUCACUUCAUUGCAAGGCAAGUUUAUUUAUAUACCAAAUUUCAUACACAGUGGUAAUGAAGUGCUUUACAAAAAAUGAGAAUGAUAAUUAAUACAAGGUAUUUAAAAAUUAAGAACUAGAAAUAAAAUAAUUUAAAUUAGAAUUGAUUAGCUACCAGGAGAUAAAAUAGAUGUGUUUUCAGUCAGAAUUUGGUAAGAUAUGUGCUUUCAUUUGUUUCAGCAAUCCCUUUGGAACAGGCUAGUGCAUCAAAUGGACCUAGUCAACUUCCACUAGGCCUACACAUUCCCGCUGCACCACUGCAUUUGCCCCCAGCUCCUGCACCACAGAAGUUGGCUCCUGCACCACAGAAGUUGGCUCCUGCACCACAGAUGUUGGCUCCUGCACCACUUAAUUUGUCUCCGACUACUGCACCACUUAAUUUGUCUCCGACUACUGCACCACUUAAUUUGUCUCCGACUACUGCACCACUUAAUUUGUCUCCGACUACUGCACCACUUAAUUUGUCGGUUGCUGGACCAUCACCUGUCUGUGUUCCAAAGUGGGUACCAGUGUCAAACCCCCAAAUAAUGCAUAAAGGAUCUUCAUCAACUUCAGGACCAUCAACUUCAGGACCAUCAACUUCAGGACCAUCAACUUCAGGACCUAAGCCAUCAGCAGAACAUGGCAAAAAGAGAAAGCACAAGUCUGAAGCACCUGAGUGGUUUGAGCAGUAUGUCACUGAGCAGAGGAGGCAGAUGUCAGAGCUCAUGGCCCUGCAAAAGCAAGCAGUGGAAGUGGCAAGUGAACGUAACAACAUCUUAAAAGAAUUUGUUUCUGCUUUGAAGAAGAAAUAGAAACUUGUGUUUUCUCCUUUUGCCAUAUUCUGCUGAUAUUUAGGUUCUAUUUUGUUUCCUUCAGUAUACUGUACAUCAUGCCAUUAAACAAUCACCUCACCUUAAUGAUUUUUUAUUUUUUUAUUUUUUUAUUAUUCAAUAUUUUAUUUCCAUUCUUUUAUGAAACAAAAACCUCUGAAAACUUAGGUGAACACAAAAACAUUAAACAGAAACUUUAAUCACCCUCCACCAAAAAUGAAGCAAUAUCAUCCCUUUUUCUUUGACCUGAAG
ensembl:lncRNA